rnacentral:rRNA from 1 species
CAGCCGCCGCGGUAAAACGUAGGGUGCAAGCGUUAAUCGGAAUUACUGGGCGUAAAGCGUGCGCAGGCGGUUAUAUAAGACAGAUGUGAAAUCCCCGGGCUCAACCUGGGAACUGCAUUUGUGACUGUAUAGCUAGAGUACGGCAGAGGGGGAUGGAAUUCCGCGUGUAGCAGUGAAAUGCGUAGAUAUGCGGAGGAACACCGAUGGCGAAGGCAAUCCCCUGGGCCUGUACUGACGCUCAUGCACGAAAGCGUGGGGAGCAAACAGGAUUAGAUACCCCCGUAGUCCCUGUCUCUUAUAA